rnacentral:rRNA from 1 species
AUUGAACGCUGGCGGCAUGCCUUACACAUGCAAGUCGAACGGUAACAGGUCUUUCGGGCUGCUGACGAGUGGCGAACGGGUGAGUAAUACAUCGGAACGUGCCUAGUAGUGGGGGAUAACUACUCGAAAGAGUGGCUAAUACCGCAUGAGAUCUAUGGAUGAAAGCAGGGGACCUUUGGUCCUUGUGCUACUAGAGCGGCCGAUGGCAGAUUAGGUAGUUGGUGGGAUAAAAGCUUACCAAGCCUACGAUCUGUAGCUGGUCUGAGAGGACGAUCAGCCACACUGGAACUGAGACACGGCCCAGACUCCUACGGGAGGCAGCAGUAGGGAAUUUUGGACAAUGGGCGCAAGCCUGAUCCAGCAAUGCCGCGUGCAUGAUGAAGGCCUUCGGGUUGUAAAAUGCUUUUGUACGGAACGAAAAGUCUUGGGUUAAUACCCUGGGAUCAUGACGGUACCGAAAGAAUAAGCACCGGCUAACUACGUG